CUUGCAUUUAAUUUCCCCGGCUGCUUACAAAAGCCGUUUGCCCUCACGCCGACCCGCCCCGCCAAAAGCUCAACAUAGGACGGGGGUGCCCUUCCAAUUCCCCCAAAAUCUCCCCCCGCCGGAUAUUCCAAGCCCACGCCACGCCGCCGAGCCAGUGCUCCCGCGAGCCGCGCCGCGGACGCCGCCCGCCUCAUCCGAAAUGGCCCCGCCUGCCGCGGCCGAGCUCGUCGUCCCCGCCGCGCCCGCGCUGCUUGGGGAGCCCGGGGCUCCCCCUCCCCCUCUGCAUGAUCGGGACGUCGCCAAGCGCGGGCGCCCCGGGCUCCGGCCCCAGGGCGCCGGCGCGCGCAUCCUGUCCCUCGGCGUGCGCGCGGCGGUGAUGGCGGCCGCGGUCGCGAUCUUCCUCCUCUUCGCCGCCGCGUCCGCCGUGCUCCUCCUCGUCCUCGUCGUCGCCGCGCGCGCCUUCCGCCACCACCGCGGCAGCCGCUACCGCGUCCCGUCGCGCGGCCCGGCCCCGCCGCCGUCGCCGCUCCGCGCGGGGCUCUCGCCCGACGACCUCCGCCGCCUCCCGACCUUCGCCUUCCCCUCCCCGCCACGCGACGGCGGGGGGACCCCCUCCCCCUGCGCCGUGUGCCUCGAGGCCCCGCGCGCCGGGGAGCGGUGGCGCGCGAUGCCGGCCUGCCGGCACGCGUUCCACGCCGCCUGCGUCGACCGGUGGCUCGCCAGGUCGCCCGCCUGCCCCGUCUGCCGCGCCGCCGUCGCCGUCUCGGCGAGAUGAUGCCGCGAUCCUGCCCACGCGUGGGCAACACACCAUACAGGACCCGAAGAAACUAUUGGCACCUCCGGAUAACUCCGAAUUUAUUUGCACAGCCAGGCAGAAAAAGGUUUCUUGUGGUUCCUGGCAGUGGCCGGCGACGGCAGCCUCACUUUUGGAGAGUAGAGGGACGAGCCGGAGCGUUCAAACAUUCUUGCCUCGUGCUGGAUUCGCACGUCGAGUCGAACAGCAAGUCCGCCGUCGAACGGGCCAGCGGUCAGUGGUCAGGCGAGCCUUCGGCAAAAGAGCUGGAUAAAAAGCUGGUCAAAAAGCGGAGUGAGAAGGAAGGGUUCCCCGAUAAGGAAGGCUGACCCGAUACCCAUAACCUACAGAGAGCGAGUUCAAUAUCCGCCUACAAAGAAGCAACUAAAAUCCUGACUGACAAGGUUUGGGGCUAUCUAAUAGCAAAAAUCUCCUUCUAACAAGACAGGGUAUUCACUACUGUAAGGUACUGAGAGAACAGGUAGUCAGCAGCGGCGAAUUUCACAUGUCCGGUCACUAGGCUGUUCGGAAGGAUGGCUGGGCUGGCUGGCUGGGCUGAAUCGGCUGGCCAGCCGUUCGGCGGCCCAGCCAGUCAGUGGCAAACCCCUUCCAGCCUCCUAAAAGAGUAUUCCAGGGCAAAAUUUGCCCUGAGACACCGUUGGAACGCGAGCUUUGCCAAAAGCCACUAUACAAUCGCAUCUAUG